CCAGAUUUCGCUGGUUUUCUCAGUCCUAAUCCUUGUCCACCAGGUCCGGUGCCAACACCACCAGGACCAGUCCCAGCACCACCAGGUCCAUAGCCUCCUGGUCCUGUCCCAGCACCACCAGGGCCAUAGCCUCCAGGUCCUGUCCCGGCACCACCAGGUCCAAAUCCUCCAGGUCCUGUCCCGGCACCACCAGGGCCAUAGCCUCCAGGUCCUGUCCCAGCACCUCCAGGCCCAGUCCCAGCACCACCAGGGCCAUAGCCUCCAGGUCCUGUCCCAGCACCUCCAGGCCCAGUCCCAGCACCACCAGGUCCGUAGC
ensembl:lncRNA